rnacentral:rRNA from 1 species
GGCCCGCACAAGCGGUGGAGCAUGUGGUUUAAUUCGAUGAUACGCGAGGAACCUUACCAAGGUUUAAAUGUAGAACGAUCGAUGUGGAAACACAUCUUUCUUCGGACGGUCUACAAGGUGCUGCAUGGUUGUCGUCAGCUCGUGCUGUGAAGUGUCGGGUUCAAGUCCCAUAACGAGCGCAACCCCUAUCUUUAGUUGCCAGCGAUUCGGUCGGGGACUCUAAAGAAACUGCCGGCGUAAGCCGCGAGGAAGUGGGGAUGACGUCAAUCAUCACGGCCCUUACAUCUUGGGGCUACACACGUGCUACAAUGGCGAGGACAACGAGAAGCAAACCGGCGACGGUGAGCAAAAUCUAAAAACCUCGUCUCAGUUCGGA